rnacentral:ncRNA from 1 species
UAAAACUCAUUGAAAAGAAGAGUACACAAGCAGACAUUGAAAUCUAGCUGAUAAAUUUGCUUUUUAGCUAGAAUGAGAGAGCUUUCGUUUGGUGAAAGAAAGCAAUGAACACUUGUCGAAAAUGAUCUUGGAGAGGAAAAAUCAAUUCGAUUUUUACGGCUGCUACCGUUAACAAGGCACCAAAUCAAGAAGUCGUUCUGCGUUUGGGUUGAGAUGGAUUUUAUUUCCAAUAAAGGUGGUACCGCGACAGUCGCCCUUUAC